UACGUAGGGUGCGAGCGUUAAUCGGAAUUACUGGGCGUAAAGCGUGCGCAGGCGGUUUUGUAAGCCAGAUGUGAAAUCCCCGGGCUUAACCUGGGAAUGGCAUUUGGGACUGCAAGGCUGGAGUGUGGCAGAGGAGACUGGAAUUCCUGGUGUAGCAGUGAAAUGCGUAGAUAUCAGGAGGAAUACCGAUGGCGAAGGCAGGUCUCUGGGCUGACACUGACGCUCAUGCACGAAAGCGUGGGGAGCAAACAGGG
rnacentral:rRNA from 1 species